rnacentral:rRNA from 1 species
GCCUACGGGGGGCAGCAGUGGGGAAUAUUGCGCAAUGGGCGAAAGCCUGACGCAGCGACGCCGCGUGAGGGAUGAAGGUCUUCGGAUCGUAAACCUCUGUCAGCAGGGAAGAACGGUCACUGUGCUAAUCAGCAGUGAAUUGACGGUACCUGCAAAGGAAGCACCGGCUAACUCCGUGCCAGCAGCCGCGGUAAUACGGAGGGUGCGAGCGUUAAUCGGAAUUACUGGGCGUAAAGCGCUCGUAGGCGGUAUGUCAAGUCAAGGGAGAAAUCCCCGCGCUCAACGUGGGACCUGCAUUUGAAACU